rfam:Schistosoma rodhaini strain Burundi genome assembly, scaffold: SROB_scaffold0000488
NNACUGCUGAGGAGUCCCAUAAUAGGACGAAACGGCCGUCCAGUGC